rnacentral:rRNA from 1 species
GACGAACGCUGGCGGCGUGCUUAACACAUGCAAGUCGAACGGAAGUAUAAAGGAAGCUUGCUUUUAAUAUACUUUAGUGGCGGACGGGUGAGUAACGCGUGAGGAGCUGUCGAAUGCAGGGGGACAACAGGUGGAAACGUCUGCUAAUACCCCAUAAGCCGAGAGGUAAAAGGAGCAAUCCGGCAAUUGAGGUACUCGCGUCCUAUCAGCUAGUAGGUGAGGUAACGGCUCACCUAGGCGAAGACGGGUAGCCGGCCUGAGAGGGCGAACGGCCACACUGGAACUGAGAUACGGUCCAGACUCCUACGGGAGGCAGCAGUGGGGAAUAUUGGGCAAUGGGGGCAACCCUGACCCAGCGACGCCGCGUGGGUGAAGAAAUUCUUCGGAAUGUAAAGCCCUGUUGUAUGGGAAGAGUAGAAGACGGUACCAUACGAGGAAGCCCCGGCAAACUACGUG